AACGAACGCUGGCGGCAUGCCUAACACAUGCAAGUCGAACGAGACCUUCGGGUCUAGUGGCGCACGGGUGCGUAACGCGUGGGAACCUGCCCUUAGGUUCGGAAUAACUCCCCGAAAGGGGUGCUAAUACCGGAUAAUGUCUUCGGACCAAAGAUUUAUCGCCUUUGGAUGGGCCCGCGUUGGAUUAGCUAGUUGGUAGGGUAAAAGCCUACCAAGGCGACGAUCCAUAGCUGGUCUGAGAGGAUGAUCAGCCACACUGGGACUGAGACACGGCCCAGACUCCUACGGGAGGCAGCAGGGGGGAAUAUUGGACAAGGGGCGAAAGCCUGAUCCACCAAUGCCGCGUGAGUGAUGAGGGCCUUAGGGUUGUAAAGCUCUUUUACCCGGGAUGAUAAUGGCAGUACCGGGAGAAUAAGCCCCGGCUAACUCCGU
rnacentral:rRNA from 1 species